rnacentral:sRNA from 1 species
GACCAAUAAAGGGGGCUAAAAAAGAAGUAAUCCCAGUCAUCUGUUCUUCAAUCCCAAAUAGGAGAAAAUUCAGUUUUUUUAUAAUUGAAAAUGGCAUCAUUCUUGGACCAGGCAGUAUUGUCUGGGUGCUAACUCCACAUCUCCUCAGACCUCCAAAAUAGUUUCUAUAGGACUAAAUUUACCUCUUACAGGUGAGUGGAGUCCUUCUAGGAGACAGGAGUUCAAAAUCUUGCCCCUUUUGCUAUUUUGAAAAACAACAGCACACUGUUGCCCAUCAUAAUAAAGAGUAUUUGUUAGCUAAUAGAUGGUUGUACUGAUGGCUUGUUUUUCAUUUUUUUUGUGCUUUUUGGUCCAUCUAUUAAUAAAAAUGAACCCCGUUACAGAGUCACCAUCAUGUCUCUUCUCACCACCCUCUGAAUCUGCAUUAGCCAGUCAACUAGCCCUUUCAGCGUCAUGUGACCAGCGCGCCCCAUUCAGCUUGGCUGGUGUCGUUUCACAUGACCCAGGCUGGCCAGUCGUCAGGUUGCACCGCCCUUUGGUUCCCGAGCAUGCUGUUUUCUCUCAGCCUUCUCUCCAACCUUAACCAAAUCGGCAGCAGCCACCUCGACCGCCCACACAUUCCUGGCCAAUCAGCUCAGCUGUUUAUUUACCAAAUGUCUUCACAACAACUACAGCAGCAGCCUUCGGCUAACAAAAAAGCAGGAAAAAUCCACAACACCCCCUUCGCCAACCAACUAAAUCCAACGCAACAUCUGGCAAAACCUUUUCAGCAAAUUCUUCCUGGCCGUCAGUCCGGCAGCCUCACCUCACCAUUUCUAGCUUGUUGAAACCCAAAACUAGUAAGUUUUUCCUGCUUAUACAGUUUACUGCUGGUUAAAAUAAGGAGUAAGCGGCUUAAAGUAAUUCUUUUUUCUGGAUCAAAGGCUGGCUGUGCAUAAUUGAAUGGUAACGUACAUAUAUAUUGCUUGAAAAACUUUUAAGGGUGAUAGGGAACUCGUAAUGUAACUAGGCCUUCAAGUGAAACUUAUUUGCAUGUGCGAGAUGCCAAACUAAAAAUUUUAAUAUCUCUAACAGAUUAGCUUUUCUGGCAAAAAUUUGUUGAAUCCUAUCACCUUUAAAUGGUUUUACUAACAGUUUCAAAAUUUAAAAUUUUGGGGUUGAAGUGUGGGCCAAGCUAAGGUAAUUUUGGUAAGCCUAAACACACUCUUAAAUGUGACGAUCACAAAUGCAGUUCUAAUGUAGCACUUAAUGGCAUCAAUAUUUACACCUACCGCGUUUUCACAAAAUUACACUAUCCACCUGGUACCUAAGUCUUGUCAUGGACUUACAGGUUUGCAUGGGUUCCAAAUACUGGUUUAUGGUACUGUUUUUGGAACUACUUGUGGGACUAUAUUUUGGUGUGGUGUUUGGGUAGUGAAGUUAGUUUGACAUGAAGUUUUGCAUUGGACAGAUCUGCUGUGAAGCAUUCUUUGUUAAAGUGAAUCUAUGGUUGGAAUACCUGCUUUUCACUUGAGCUUUUUGUUUCUUAAUCCUUCUGUGCCUUUUUUUUCUUUUCUUUUUUUUUUUUUUUGGACGAUGGGUGCCAGUUCUUCGGCACAUUCACUGGGCCCAACAGUGAGAUUGAAAAGUUGGGAAAUGCCUCACGCCAUAAAUACUGAUUGAUGAUGAGCCUAAUUUUCCUGUUUCUGCUUUUAGAUCUCCAAGAAGGAGAAGCUUCUCUCGCAGCCGGAGCAGGUCCCUUUCUAGAGAUAGGAGAAGAGAGAGAUCGCUGUCUCGGGAGAGAAAUCACAAGCCGUCCCGAUCCUUCUCUAGGUCUCGUAGUCGAUCUAGGUCAAAUGAAAGGAAAUAGAAGACAGUUUGCAAGAGAAGUGGUGUACAGGAAAUUACUUCAUUUGACAGGAGUAUGUACAGAAAAUUCAAGUUUUGUUUGAGACUUCAUAAGCUUGGUGCAUUUUUAAGAUGUUUUAGCUGUUCAAAUCUGUUUGUCUCUUGAAACAGUGACACAAAGGUGUAAUUCUCUAUGGUUUGAAAUGGAUCAUACGAGGCAUAUAAUACCAACAAUUGUUACUUUACAAUGUUCCCUUAAGCAAAAUUGAAUUUGCUUUGAACUUUUAGUUAUGCACAGACUGAUAAUAAACCUCUAAACCUGCCCAGCAGAAGUGUGUUUUUUUUUUUUUUAAAUACAGAAACAACUGGCAAAAAUUGAACUAAGAUAUACUUUUUUUUCCAUAGCUGGGAUAUAGGCUGCAGCUAUAGUUGAACAAGCAGUCUUUAAAAACUGCUAUGAAACACAGGCCAUCAGGUAAAAACGAAACGCUGCACUAGAGGUUUUUGAAAAAUCCAACUCACUUUCAUCUUGGGCAGAGGUUGCCUAGUUGGUAUAGAAUGUUAAGUUUCAAGAAAGUUUACCUUUGCUUUAGGUCAUAAGUUCCUUAUUUGAUUGCUGUAUAUGAAUACAUGGCUGUUCGUGACAUUCUUUACGUGCAAAUUUGUGAUUUCAAAAAUGUCCUGCCAGUUUAAGGGUACAUUGUAGAGCCAAACUUUGAGUUACUGUGCAAGAUUUUUUUUUUCAUGCUGUCAUUUGUAAUAUGUUUUGUGAGAAUCCUUGGGAUUAAAGUUUUGGUUACAAAUUG